rnacentral:rRNA from 1 species
UACAGAGGGGGCAAGCGUUAUUCGGAAUUAUUGGGCGUAAAGGGCGCGUAGGCGGCCUUGCAAGUGACGGGUGAAAUCCCUCGGCUUAACCGAGGAACUGCCUGUCAGACUGCAUGGCUUGAGACCGGGAGAGGUGAGUGGAAUUCCCAGUGUAGCGGUGAAAUGCGUAGAUAUUGGGAGGAACACCAGUGGCGAAGGCGACUACCUGGCCUGUUCUUGACGCUGAGGAGCGAAAGCGUGGGGAGCAAACAGG